UCUACGGGAGGCAGCAGUGAGGAAUAUUGGUCAAUGGACGAGAGUCUGAACCAGCCAAGUAGCGUGAAGGAUGACGGCCCUAUGGGUUGUAAACUUCUUUUAUAAAGGAAUAAAACGAGCCACGUGUGCCUUUUUGCAUGUCCUUUAUGAAUAAGGAUCGGCUAACUCCGUGCCAGGAGCCGCGGUAAUACGGAGGAUCAGAGCGUGAUCCGGAUUUAUUGGGUUUAAAGGGAGCGUAGUUGGGUUGUAAAGUCAGUUGUGAAAGUGUGGGGCUCAACCGUAAAAUUGCAAUUGAUACUGGCAGGCUUGAGUACAGUUGAGGUAGGCGGAAUUCGUGGUGUAGCGGUGAAAUGCUUAGAUAUCACGAAGAACUCCGAUUGCGAAGACAGCCUACUAAACUGCCACUGACAUUGAUGCUCGAAAGUGUGGGUAUCAAACAGGAUUAGAUACCCCGGUAGUC
rnacentral:rRNA from 1 species